CCUACGGGAGGCAGCAGUAAGGAAUAUUGGUCAAUGGACGCAAGUCUGAACCAGCCAUGCCGCGUGAAGGAUGAAUGCCCUCUGGGUUGUAAACUUCUUUUAUAGGGGACGAAAAAGGGUCUUUUUAGAUCAACUGACGGUACCCUAGGAAUAAGCACCGGCUAACUCCGUGCCAGCAGCCGCGGUAAUACGGAGGGUGCAAGCGUUAUCCGGAUUUACUGGGUUUAAAGGGUGCGUAGGUGGGUUGGUAAGUCAGCGGUGAAAUCUUCGAGCUUAACUCGGAAACUGCCAUUGAUACUAUCAGCCUUGAAUAUCCUGGAGGUGAGCGGAAUAUGUCAUGUAGCGGUGAAAUGCUUAGAUAUGACAUAGAACACCAAUUGCGAAGGCAGCUCACUACGGGAUUAUUGACACUGAGGCACGAAAGCGUGGGGAUCAAACAGGAUUAGAUACCCUGGUAGUCCACGCCCUAAACGAUGGAUACUCGACAUUUGCGAUAUACAGUAAGUGUCUGAGCGAAAGCAUUAAGUAUCCCACCUGGAAGUACGAUCGCAGAUUGAACUCAAGAGUAGUGCGNGAGAGAGCGACGAGACGACGAGGAGGAGGNG
rnacentral:rRNA from 1 species